rnacentral:lncRNA from 1 species
AGCCAAAACAUAUUCAGUGCCAACCAAAUGGCUUGCAAGCACAAGACUACCCUAAGAUUACCAGAACAUCACCUGUUAACCACUAAACAUUUAAUAACAUGGCAUUUAUUCAUUUAAUUCCAUAAAAGGACAUAAUUACAAGAUACCAGCAAAAGUGCUCAAAAAAAUCUACAAAAAUUACAGAAGCACAAGCAUAGUAUCUUGACCUUACCAC